GCGGAGAGGCCCAAGGGGAGGGUCGGGGAGCCGGCAGCGCAGGGCUCUGCAAAGGGAGGGAACCCCAAAUCAGGCGCGGCCGGGAUGGCGCCUCCGCGUGGGGCGGAUCUCAGGAGGGGGGACCGCGUGCGUUCUAGAAGAAUCCACGAGGCGAGGACAGGAUCGGAGGCCACUCGAGGAUUCACAGCCGGAGGGAAGGAGGCCGCCGAUUCAGAGACGGGGCCAGAGGACGGCUAGGUGGACGGCGGUGUCCGAGGCGCGGCCCGUCCCUGGCAGCUGGGGCUCCCAAGGUCGCGCGUAGGACGCGGACGCGGGCACUGCGGCGCCGCCGCUUCUCUGCAGGGACAGCGCAGCGCGUGACCACGGCGCCCUCUGCCGGCCACAGGCGGCAGCGCGGGCCACGCGGAGCCCCGGGGUCUGCAGCGGUGACGGGUCGGGGGCGGGACGUUCCCCUUCGCGGCGCUUCUCCUCGGUGAGGGGGAAAAUUAAAAAGCCAAGAGAGCCGGACCCAGUAUCCAAAGCAACCGCUACGCCCCGCCGUAGGAGCCCCUUGUCCUCUCCGGGGCGCGGGGCGGGAGGACGCGGGCGCCAUCGGCUGCGCAAUGCUGCCACCUGCCGUCCGCGGGCCGCCGGUGCGCCUCGGGAAAGCUGCGCGGCUGUUCCGGGUCGCGUCGUGAGUUUUGAAAUUUUCCGUCUUAAAACAAAACGGAAGCGCGUCGGAAGAGAAAGACUUUCACGGGCAAAUUAAAUAAAACGUGCAGUAACCGUAAAGAUCAAGCACUCGUAGCGGGACCUCCGGGGGCUGGGAGAGUGUGAGCGCUGCCGCGGGUCGGAGGUCGCGCUCGGGUCACAGGUCCCAGGGGAGGGGCUGUGUCCCAGUCUGCGGCUUCCCUGCGCUGAUCCUCCGCGGGUGACAGCACAGUAAGCUGGCCUACGGGACCGCUGUGGGAUCCUUAGCAAGGGCCGGGACAAGUUUAAAGCCUCCCGUGUCACCAGCUCUGAUCAAGGGUGAACCCUUGCUCCCAAGAUGAAGCCACAGGGCCACCUUCCGAGGGUCUCCAGUAUUGAGGGGAGAGUCGUGGUAUCUUGAUGACAUGGGUCAGAUCCAAUUUUCAGUUUUAACAGGUGACUUGCCAGAAUGUUUUGCCCCUGCCGCCUCCCCCUGUCCAGGUGAACUUGGCUGAAAUUUAGCUGUUUUUUAUGCCUCCGAUUGUUUAUAACAAAGUUAGAUUGUAGUUUAUUAUGCACAAAGUGCAUACUAAAGUGCCUCAAACUAAUGACCUACUGCUUAUUUAAUUUAGCAUUUUAGUAGCACCUCUUCAGUAAUUUUACUUUUGAAGGUGUUACAUGUAGUAAACAGUCCAAAACUAUCCAAUGAUACGAUGAGGUAUUUCACACACUCACAUAAUUUUUAGUUGUAAAUACAUUGUUGUAACCACUCUACUUUGUCAUUAAUGUUAACCUUGUACUGCAUCUAAAUUAUAAAUCAAACUUUCUCAUAGGUAUGCAUGUAUAGAUAGAAGACACGAUAUAUAGAGUUUCAUACUUGCCUUCAGUUUGGGGCACUCAAUGAUUUUGUGAAAAUAAGAACAGAGUGGGUACUGUGUGUAAAAGAAAAUUAAGGUUCAUAGAGGUUAAUUUGCCAAAAGUCACAAAGCAAGUAAAUGAUAUUUGGAAGAAGAUAAUCAAAUUUAGUAGAAAGCCAGACUUAGGCAUAAGAAGUAGAAGAAUUGCUAUGGUUUAUAUCAGAAAUAUCUUCCAAAGGCCUCAUGCUCUCAUAGGCAGGAGUUUUUAAGGGUGACUGAAUUAUGGAGGCCAAGUAGCUAACUUGCUGUUAGAAGGUAGGGCCGGCUUGAAGGAGGUGGGUCGCUGGGAGAGUGACUGGAAGGGUCAUCGCCCUUCCUGGUUUCCCUGUCUCUGCUUCCUGGCUGGCAUGUGUGAGCAGCUUUCUCCUUGCCAGCGUCUUGCACCUUCCUGGUUCUAUUUAGGGCUGCUGAACAUGGAUUGAGACUUCUGAACAAUGAACCAAAAUAAACCACUCUCCUUUAAGUUGUGGAUGUUGGGUAUUAUGUCUCAGCAACCAGAAAAGUGACUGAGACAUAUUUUCAUACUAGAGAUGUAAGGUCAUUGCUGUGACUGCCUAACCAUGUAGUUUACCUGCGUUUGGAACACAUUUGCAAGGGAAGUUUGGAAAGGUUUAGAAAUGUCCGCUAAAGAAGCUGUAGAAUGCUAUACACUGAACUUGAUAGAAGAUUCUAGUUAGAGCUCAGGAGACCAGAUGCCCAUAAAAAUGCAGACAUCACCUUUCACGGACUGGGGAGAGAGAGAACAAGGCUGCAGCAGCAAACAGGCCCAGUCUGGGAACCAGCACCAUGCGCAGGCCACCACUAGACUGGAAACAGCCAGACCCCAGACCCUUCCGGGAGCAUGGGCUGGCAAACAAAAAGUACCAAUCCUCACCCACCCCAUCCCACAUAAGUAACCAGCUUAUCUAGAGAAACACAGGCUGUGAUGAUAGCUAUCAAGUUGAAAAGCAAUUGGAUGCCUGUGGUGCUUUCGUGUUUCACUAACAUUGCAGGUCUAGGGCCUGUGGUCUGAACACAGGUUCAGAAGAUAUCGGGGAUCUCCUGAGAGUUACAGCCAUUGUUGACUCCGUAUGGUCUUGUUUUGAGGUUUGACAUCCUUUCCAUUGUUUUGUUGGGUUGGGUUUUAUUCUCUUUUGUUUUGUUUGAUUAUGUCAAAUCCAAUGGCUGGAGCAGCUAUUUCAAAGUAGCAAGAUAUACUAUGGGAGCCAUUUUGGAUUUACUGUUGGCUUGUUUUGAAAUCCUUUAUUGCAUUCAUUUUUUUUUAUUGUUUCUAUUCUGUUCUGUUCUGUUUGAUUUUUACUACAUCCAAAGUUAUCUGCAGCUAUUUUGAAGACAUUAAAAGGCAUUAUGGUAACUAUUA